UACGUGUGUUAGCUUGUAAUACAUGUAGUACUAAUUAUAGAAACUCCAUAUAACACCCUAUGUUUGUUGUGUUCCAGCCUGGUCUUUGCCAUAGUUACUCUGUCGGCCUUCUUCACACUGCUGUACGGUGUUCAGUACGGUAGAAGGAAGGCCGAGGCUUGGCUGUUCGCCUUCCUCGUGUCCUUCCUGACAGAUAUUAUCAUUGUCCAGCCACUGAAGAUUGUCCUGAUCGUCAUCUUUGUGCGGCUCAUCUCUAAGAGUCGAAAGGGGCGAAGGUCUUAACACCGUAGAGCACUCUUACAAUGGAAGAAGUUGCCUAGAGUACACUUGAAGAAACUGGAUGAAGUAGCCAGUCGACGACUGUCACAACUUUCUUUAGACUCCGAAGACCGGUAUUCUGCAGACCCGCUCGCCUCACGCGUCAGCGUUGAUUCACAGUCUUCGCGAGAUGUAAUAGACACUGUAACUGACCAAUCAGAAAUCUACGAAGACAGGGAAUAUAUUAAUUAUCCUCAAUUAGACGCAUCGUCAAGUAUCGUUAGUGACUCUUGUCCGUCUACAUGUACAAUAAAUGGUAGAGGCCAAGCAAGGACGUCUUGGUUGGAAGAACAUGACAUAGAUAGUAAAGAUGGCAGGGACGCGUACACGUUACCAUUUCAGGAACUUGUUUUUGAUCUACCAUAAGUAACCAGAUAAUCAAAAUGAAAGGUUUCAAUUGGGGUCAAGUUUUCUUGUUGGGAUUUGUCGUGAGGUCAUUGAGGCCAUGAGGGAAGAGGCUAGGGUCCAACAACGUAUAUAACAUAGAUACAGUUUAAAGUCCUAAGACGUCUUGUAAGCCAAUGUACACAUGUUUACACACAUGGUACAAAUAAUAGCGAGAGACAUAAUUUGAGUCCAUUCAUUUCGGUCAUUUCCGGUACUUUAAGAGGCUUUUAAAGGAAGCCAGAGUUGGUGCUGUGCGUAUGUCCGGUAAAAACUUUUACAGAUGACAAUGUGACGUUUGAUUAGGUCCACCAUGUUUACUUCAAUAUUAGGACUGGAAUAACUCCUUGACUUCACACACAAAAACAUGUGAUGUUACUCAAUUAACUAACAGCAUAAGCCCAAGUUGAAAUCCAUCUACCGUUACAUGUAGCUAU